GGAUGGGCGUGGCUUCGGGCAAAACUGUUCUGCUCCCCUGAUACCAGGAGGCUCUAGAAGAAGACAUGUGCUGCUCCUUGGAGGUUGGAACUGCCCCCCGCAGUGGCAUCUGUGAAAUGGGUGCCAUCUCACAGCCUUCAGAGUCUGCAUGAUACAAUCAUGAAUUCAACAGUGUGGAUGUGCACACAUGUGCAACACCUGGAGCUUCAGGGACUUCCUGUCAGCAGAAGGUCCUCAAGUCACCACACAGCUAUUCAGUCACCUCCACGGGAACAAGAAGAACACAUUGUGGGGCCGGGCCGUGGGGUGGGAGACACAACAGCGCACUGCCUCUUCUGUUACCAGAAAUGCCUCUGAUCUAAGGAUGCACAGCAACACUGGGCCAGACUGUUGAGGCGUUGUGAAGAGUGAACCCUCCCUGCUCUGCAUCAAAAGGCCUCGGGUCACUGACAUUGGGUUAAAAGGAGGAUGAACAGUCCCCGGAAGCAAAGGAAGAUUCUAGAAAGCACUCCAUUCCUUAAAGACUUCUGGGGAUUAGCAUGCUACCCGUUGACUUCCAUCCUCUGCCUUUACAUCCCUCUGGACAGUUGGCUUCUUGCAAAAGGAUCUCUGUUCUUCCGAAAGCCACAGAGCUUCUCAGGAUCUGUUUUCUGCGAAAUCAGGGGCGUGGCGCACACAAAUCAAAUCAAAACAGAAAUCAUCACGCCCUGUUAUGGAUCUCAGACACAGU